rnacentral:ncRNA from 1 species
UUAAAGCCGUUGAUAAGAAUAGUAAAUAAUAGAGUUUAGUAUAAAGAGAAUUUGGCAUUUGGUGAGAGUCAAAUACUGUAGCUAUUAUUGAAUGGGUCUUUGAGGUGAUAUCUUGAAAUAUUUAAGUAGGGAUAUACGGGAAGUCAGCCGUUAAAAUGACAGGAUAUAAUAAAACAAUUGUUUUACGUAUCUGAUAAGAUAUAUACAUGGGUGGUAUAGCGAGUGUUAACAUUUCGUCCUAUUUUAGGAGAAGUGUUUUUUUAUUUAUAUAGCUUUUUAUGCUGCAUUAAAAAUGUAUUAAUUUGGGUGGCACCACGAGUCACUUCGUCCCAAUA